rnacentral:rRNA from 1 species
UACGUAGGGUGCAAGCGUUGUCCGGAAUUAUUGGGCGUAAAGAGCUUGUAGGCGGUUUGUCGCGUCUGCUGUGAAAUUUCGGGGCUCAACCCCGAACUUGCAGUGGGUACGGGCAGACUAGAGUGUGGUAGGGGAGACUGGAAUUCCUGGUGUAGCGGUGGAAUGCGCAGAUAUCAGGAGGAACACCGGUGGCGAAGGCGGGUCUCUGGGCCGAUACUGACGCUGAGGAGCGAAAGCGUGGGAGCGAACAGG